UACGUAGGGUGCGAGCGUUAAUCGGAAUUACUGGGCGUAAAGUGUGCGCAGGCGGCCGAGCAAGUCGAGUGUGAAAGCCCCGAGCUUAACUUGGGAACUGCGCUCGAAACUACUUGGCUAGAGUGUGGCAGAGGGGAGGUGGAAUUCCACGUGUAGCGGUGAAAUGCGUAGAGAUGUGGAGGAACACCGAUGGCGAAGGCACCUCCUGGGCCAA
rnacentral:rRNA from 1 species